CAUUACUUGGUGCGGGUACCAUUUCCUUAUAUCUUUUCUAUACUAUAUCAAAAGUUUGAAGGUUCAUGUCAUUUAAUGGAAAUUUUCAAAGAUUGUCCUAACAUAAGAAGAAUUAAAUUCUUGUAUUAGUCGAUUUUCAACACCCAUGGAUGAUCGGGUAUAUAUCCAUAUUGAAUGUCUAAAAGAGCCUUGAGAAACAUCGGAUGGAUAGGGUUCAAUUGAUCUAAUGUUGCUUCAGUUAACUGCAUAUCUUCGCCAUAAAGCCAUAAAACUUGCUGAAGACCUUUUUCUUCUGCUUUCUCUUGAACAUGAAUCGUUG